rnacentral:lncRNA from 1 species
UUCCUGGCUCCCCAUCCACCAAGGAAGCUUCAAGUCCCUGGGACACAGAGUCAUCUCUGGUCCACCUUGAAGUCCCCAGGAAAAUGACCUCGUCCUCCGCGGGUGUGAGCCACUAGGCCUGAGAGGACGCCGGGACGGAGCUUUCAGAGAGGGAGGUGUCGGGAUGGCUUGAGGGUCACCAGGUAUUAAUUAAGCACUUGCUGUGUGCCAGGCACUUUCCCACACAGGAUGGAGCCGGGCCACCCUCACAGCUCCUGCCCUGCAGACGCUGGCCUUGUGGAGGGAGGCAGGCAGCAGGAGCAGUGCUUUCUGGGCCUCUGUAGCCAGAGCUGGCCCUGCUGCAGCUUACGUCUGCCUGCAGCCCAGACGUCCUCCUGGUCCUCCUGAUGCCCCCGACCUCCACGGAGGACGAGCAUUUCCAGCCCAGCCCUCCCCAUCUUCACCUCGCACUCCCCUGACACACUGGGAGCCUCCUGAUCCGUGAACCCGCGCUGGCGGGAGUAGCUACUGACCGCUGGGGACCCCUGCCCAGGCUGUUCGCAUGUGGAAAGGAUUCAGGGAGCAGGCGAUGCCCAAAGCGUGGAGACCAGCACUGCUCUCUCCCCAGUGACAGGUGCACGCCCAGAUCACGGAUGUGUCGGGAACAGCUGUGCUCCUGCUGCUCAGCGUCCGUCACUCCAGGCUGGGAGCGGGUCCCCAAGCUUCUGGCUGGGCCUAUCCGUCUCCACUCUCAGUGUGGGGGUGGGGGGCGCCAACAGCACGCAUUUGCUCUCUGCACUUCUCGUCUGAUAAUGGGCAGAGGGUCCUUCUGCAGCCCCAAAACAUCCCUAGGCAGGAGCCCUGGGGCCCCAAGCAGCCAGGGAGGUGAGCACCAAGGACCUCCCAGAGAGCGUCACCUUCCGUCGAGGGAGGCCCAGCCUGGGGGCGGUGUCUGAGACUUGGAAUCAACGCUUCCGUUGGUGGCAGUAAAUCCUGUCCCUAACCCUGCAGUACAGCUGUGCCGUGUACAGGAGGGUGCUGUCUGACGCCAGACACCUGGACUACAGAUCGCAGCCUGAUUCCUGGUCAUUGCUCCACUGAACCCCAGACCCCAGCCUCGUUCUGGGCCCUCAUCCCCUAGAUCCAGGGACCCCAGCCCCAUUUCAGCCCUUGGGCCCUUGUAGGAUGCGAGGCCCUGGGCCCCAGCCCCCAGCCCAUCCGUGGCCCAGGCACUGGGGGGCUGAGGUCCUCUGAGAAGGGACACAGGGCCUGGGGGGCUCUCUCAGCCCAUCAGCAGGAGAGGACUGACUCCAGAAAAAUCAGCGUUU